rnacentral:pre_miRNA from 1 species
CCUUAUGGAUGAGCAAAGAAAGUGGUUUCUUGAAAUAGAACUCACUCUUGGUGAAAAUGCUGUGAA